GCAUGGUGGUCUCAGAGAGAAGGUGGAAGCUAUCACAGUUUUUAAAGGUUAGGCUCAUCACUAUCGGCUACAAGAAGUCCAGGCUAACUCAGAUGCAAGAGGAAAUUGAUUCUAUCUUUUGAUGUUUGAGUAGCAGGCGUGAGCCACCACACCCGGCUAGAAUAGUGGAAUAGUGUACUUUUGAUCCAAAUUUCUCUCUGCCUCUUUUCUUUCUCUCUCUUUCUUUCUCUCUCUCUCUCUCUUUUUCUUUCUUUCUUUCUCUCUCUCUCUGUCUCCUUCCUUCCUCCCUUCCUUUUUGCAUUUUGGCAAUGGCCUUUCACUUAAUGUCUUUUCUCUUUAUGCUCCGUCUUUGGGAGGAAUGCGUGAAGAGUUGGUUGUGGGUGGGAGACAUGGUGAAGAAGGCUGCUGGCAUGGCUGUAGUGGAGGAAGCCAGGUAUGUCCUUUCAUUAGGUCAGAUCAUGUGAGCUGCAUGGAGCUCGGUUCCUUUCAUAUGGAGAACCUGGGGUUAGGAUGUCCCUGUGGCCCUAGAUGGCCUCACUUUGUUCCCCUGAGCUUUAGAAUCUUCGUCCUCGGCAGGGUUAGUGACGCACAACACCUGAGGCUUCGAGUUGCAUUUAGGGAAGAAAGGGAUCAUGGCGCUCCCUGUUCAGCUGGCGAGCCGUGCUGGAGCCCUGCCAUGGUGCCCCCGCACCCUCCUACCCCUGCUCCCAUUCCUCCCUGCCCCUCACCCACUUCCCUUCACGAUGGCCUAAUGGGUCUGAUGACUCUCUGAGGACUAGUUACAAAUAACAUUUGCAUGGAUCAUUGAAGCGCUUUUUAUCUCAUUAUGUCACUUAGUCCUCACACCCACUCUGUGAGGUGGAUAUUCUUGUCACUGGCAUUUUAUAGAAAAGAAAGUGGAGGAGGAACAGAGGGUGAAGAAGGCGCCCAGGCUCCCCCUGGGAAGCGCAGAGCCGGCUGGUCUCAGGGCCAAGACUUCCAGAUCCAAAUGCAGUCAGAAGUCGUCUUCUCUGAGGAGAUCGAGACAGACGGUUGUGGAAGUGGUUACACAACUGUGUGUCAGAACAUAGAACUGUACACCAAAAAAGGGAGUUGUACUGUACAUGAAAAAGGGGAAUAACAACAAAAGAUAGAGAGCACAGACGGUCAAAAGAUGGCUUCAGCAUACAGUUGACCCUUGAACCACACAGGCGUUAGGGGUGCUGCCCCCCACACAGUCAACAUCCGUGUAUAACUUUUUUUUUUUUUUUGGAGAUAGAGUCUCUCUCUGUGUCACCCAGGCUGGAGUGCAGUGACGCGAUCUUGGCUCACUGCAGUCUUCGCCUCCCGGGUUCAAGUGAUUCUCCUGCCUCAGCCUCCUGAGUGGCUGGGACUAUAGGCGCCCGCCACCACACCAAGGUAAUUUUUAUGGUGUGAUCACGGCUCACUGCAGCCUCAACCUCUUGGGCUCAAGUGAUCCUCCUGCCUCAGUCUCCCAAGUACCUGGGACCACAAAUAUGUGCCACAACACUCGGCUAAUUUUUUGUGUUUUUACUAGAGACGGGGUUUCACCAUGCUGGCCAGGCUGGUCUCGAACUCCUGCCCUCAGGUGAUCCACCCACCGCGGCCUCCCAAAGUGCUGGGAUUACAGGCAUGAGCCACUGUGCCUGGCCAGGAAAAUAUAUUGACUAUUCAUUAAGUGGAAGUGGAUCAUCAAAAGGUCUUCAUCUGCAUCUUCACGUUGAGUAGCUGAGGAGGAGGAGAAAGAGAAGGGGUUGGUUUUGCUGUCUCAGGGGUUGCCGAGGUGAAAGAAAAUCUGCAAGUGGACCUGUGCGGUUCAAACCCUGUUGUUCAAGGGCCAACUAUGGUGUGGUAAGAGCUAUGGUACCUUAACAGACACUCCACGGGGCUAGGAGAGAAGUUGACUUGGAUGGGGCACCAUGGCACAUUUUGGGAUGAUGGCAGUCUUUCGUAUCUUGCUUGGAGAAGUAGUCACACAGCUGUACAUAUUUGUCCAUAUUCAUCAAAAUAUACACCUAAGGCUGGGCAAGGUGGCUCACGUCUAUAAUCUCAACACUUUGGGAGGCCAAAGUGGGAGGAUCGCUUGAGCCCAGGAAUUCGAGACCAGACUGGGCAAAAUAGUGAGACCUCAUCUUUACACAGAA
rnacentral:lncRNA from 1 species